GUGACCAGCGGAGGAUCAUUA
rnacentral:rRNA from 1 species